rnacentral:rRNA from 1 species
AUUGAACGUUGGCGGCAGGCCUAAAACAUGCAAGUCGAACGGUAACAGCGAGAGCUUGCUCUCGGCUGACGAGUGGCGGACGGGUGAGUAAUACGUAGGAAUCUACCUAGUAGUGGGGGACAACCCGGGGAAACCCGGGCUAAUACCGCAUACGCUCUACGGAGGAAAGCGGGGGAUCUUCGGACCUCGCGCUGUUAGAGGAGCCUGCGUCGGAUUAGCUAGUUGGUGGGGUAAAGGCCUACCAAGGCGACGAUCCGUAGCUGGUCUGAG